AGAGUUUGAUCCUGGCUCAGAACGAACGCUGGCGGCAUGCCUAACACAUGCAAGUCGAACGAGACCUUCGGGUCUAGUGGCGCACGGGUGCGUAACGCGUGGGAAUCUGCCCUUGGGUUCGGAGUAACAGUUAGAAAUGACUGCUAAUACCGGAUAAUGUCUUCGGACCAAAGAUUUAUCGCCCAGGGAUGAGCCCGCGUAGGAUUAGCUAGUUGGUGAGGUAAAGGCUCACCAAGGCGACGAUCCUUAGCUGGUCUGAGAGGAUGAUCAGCCACACUGGGACUGAGACACGGCCCAGACUCCUACGGGAGACAGCAGUGGGAAUAUUGGACAAUGGGCGAAAGCCUGAUCCAGCAAUGCCGCGUGAGUGAUGAAGGCCUUAGGGUUGUAAAGCUCUUUUACCCGGGAUGAUAAUGACAGUACCGGGAGAAUAAGCCCCGGCUAACUCCGUG
rnacentral:rRNA from 1 species